UGCGUAGGCGGCUUUGCAAGUCAGAUGUGAAAUCUAUGGGCUCAACCCAUAAACUGCAUUUGAAACUGUAGAGCUUGAGUGAAGUAGAGGCAGGCGGAAUUCCCCGUGUAGCGGUGAAAUGCGUAGAGAUGGGGAGGAACACCAGUGGCGAAGGCGGCCUGCUGGGCUUUAACUGACGCUGAGGCGCGAAAGCGUGGGAGCAAACA
rnacentral:rRNA from 1 species